rnacentral:tRNA from 1 species
GCCUGGGUGGCUCAGUCAAUUGAGCGGCUGACUUUAGCUCUGGUCAUGAUCUCAUAGCUCGUGGGUUCAAGCCCCGCAUCAGGCU